GGUGCAAUGCAUUACCUAGCAUCUGAUUUGGUCUGUGUUUACAUUCACUUAUUCACUUAACAAAUACUUCCUGACUGUGUUCAAGGGCGGGACAUUGUGCCAAGAACUGUGGGCACAAAGAUGAGUCUAACAUGAAAUUGUCUUUGGGGAGUUUAUGAUUUCACGAGGGACACAUAAAAAAUGAUGGCAUUCCACUUUUAAGAGGAUCAGUGACAGAGGACUUCCCGGACACAGAGGGUGGCGUAAAUGCAGGAGAAGCUGAACCCCCAGAAGAGAGGAGGAGCAGCAGAAUUCCCUCUGUCAAGCGAACAUGGAGGAGGGACUUUGCAGGAAAAGAGGGGAGCAGGUGCAACAGGAAGAAACAGAAGGAAGGGCUCAGCUCCAAGUCAUGUGCUGAGGUGCAAGACUAAACGUUGUGAGAAAGACAAUGAACAGGUACAGUGAACAGACUGGAACAAAGGAAGAGUUAAAGAUUCCAGAGAGCAGUACCAGGAGUUGACCCUGUUGAAAAGAAGAAGAAGAAGAAGAGUAGAAGAAGAAGGAAGAGGAAGAGGAGGAGGAGGAAGGAAAAGAGAGAAACUAACAGGGAGAAACACUCCUGGUCACCUGGGCUACUUAUGUCUGUCCGAUGUAUGAGUUUUCCUAAUCUGCAUAAACACAUAGAUACUCACUUUCCAUACAUAUUAUAUGCCACAAGCUCUCAUUGUACAAACUGAACGUGUUAGCCAUGAGGACUUCUCCAUGCCACAAAGCCAACAUCAAUAGAAGAAGGCCUAUAAACACUCUCACAAAUCAAACUCAUUCCAGAAGCAAGUCAUUGGAUGACUGAAUAUACGUCUGCUCUGCAGGCUCUGUUGUUCCUAUGGAAGAUGGAUCUGCUAGGAUCCCUCCUCAUGCCUCAAACUGGAAACCUAGCUGAUCUGCUGACAUUUUUUCUUAAAAUGAGUUGGAUUUCCUCCUGCAUCUUCCCUUCCCUUCUUCCAGAAACAUUCAGCCCCAACACUCAGGGCUAAUGCAGAGCUCCUUCCUCCUUAAGUGGUCCUUCUGCUGAGAUCUGGACAGUAUCCACCCAUGUUACAAACCAGACCUGCUUUGCAGGCACACAUUUCUCAUUUAUUCUGCAGAACAAUCAUGUCAGACAAAAACUGACAGUCCCAUUUCGCGGAGAGGGAAACAGAUCCGGAGAGAUCUGGUCCCACGUCAGAAUGGAUGGUGCUGCUGAGAAAUUAACCUAAUGUCCCUGCCUGCACAUCUUUAUGCUCUAAUACAUCUCUAUGAAUCGAUGCAAUGCUGUGUUCUCUUGGAUGACAAUCUGAUUUCUACAAAACUUUGGGUGGACUUACCUCUUUUCAGGAUCCAUUCAAUGUAUUCUGCCUCGGUUUCCCCUUCUAUUAAAAAGACAAAAAGUAAUAAGGCUAAAUUACCUAUGUUAGGUCUGUUGAAGUAGUUUGAAUUCUUCUGGACUGAGAUGAAUGCAAAUUGCCUUGUUAUUUCACUAAUUAAUAAUGUCUGCUUGGAAAUGCGACUAUUACUGCACAAUAAAUGAU